GGGAACUACCACUGACUCCUAAUCCAGAUCCUAAAGUACUUCCAGUAAUACAAAGACUUUGUACCCAGUGUUUGACUUCUGUGGGAAUGGUCUGAGGUUUUCUGAGGACAAGACAUACUCUAUCUCAUGAUUGUUUCAAUUCAUAUCCUAUCUGGAGCAAAAGGCUUUGUCUGAAGCUGUCAUGACGUCGCUAGCUGAAACUGCCAGAGGAUUUUUGUUGGACCUGAACUUCUCUAUGGUGGAAAUAGCUCCUGAGCACUGAAUCACAGCAGUACAGGAGCAGAGCAGUUUUACUGUUUUAUCUCCUCUGCAGGCAAACAUUCCUUCUCCUACAGAUCACCAUAAGGAAGCGUCACAAAGGAGCCUCUAAUGCAGCCUGGAACUGAAUUCUGCUCCAGAUAGCUGGACCACACUGGUGCUCUCACAAGAAGAUUGGUUCCUCUUGGAUGGUAUGUACCAAAGGCUAAGAC